CAGCAGCCGCGGGAACACGUAGGGUGCGAGCGUUAAUCGGAAUUACUGGGCGUAAAGCGUGCGCAGGCGGUUCGUUAAGACAGAUGUGAAAUCCCCGGGCUUAGCCUGGGAACUGCAUUUGUGACUGGCGAGCUAGAGUAUGGCAGAGGGGGGUAGAAUUCCACGUGUAGCAGUGAAAUGCGUAGAGAUGUGGAGGAAUACCGAUGGCGAAGGCAGCCCCCUGGGCCAAUACUGACGCUCAUGCACGAAAGCGUGGGGAGCAAACAGGAUUAGAUACCCCUGUAGUCCCUGUCUCUUAUAC
rnacentral:rRNA from 1 species